GGCAUAUUUUUCCUCUGACACAUUUUUGUCCAGCAUCCAUUCCUGAGGUUUGGCUCAGGCCGCUGUGGACUGGUGGGGGAAGUGCAGCUCCCAGAUCCUGGGUGUAUUUACAGAACCACAGCAGCAAAGCCACUGCCUUCCCCGUUGCUACACAGGAGAAUUUGUGCAGACUCGGGGGUCCCUGGGAAGAUGUCACACUAAGGACACAGCUCUGGGCUGGCACUGAGGUUCUGUCUACAAUGGAUUAUGUGAACAUCCAGGCUUUACUUUGCUCGUGAGUCCAUUUGGGAAAGGUAAAAUCAGGAACAGUAACUUUGGGACAGCCUGUGUUGGUGAUGGUUUCAGCUUUGACCAAAAGCUACCUGGACUCUAAUCAGCUGCAAAGUGAGAGAGCUGCAGCCAUGUAGAUCCUGCCAGAGCCCUGUGCACUUCAGCCACUUUAUGGCAAUUGGGUUACUGGAAAGUCAAUUUUUUUGCAGUGAGUAAAUUCAUCUCAUCGUGCAGAGGAAACUCAGGGGAGGUCUUUUGUCACAUGGUUAUCCUCUGAUUUAUCAUCCAGGUAAAUAUGGAUUUUUCCACUCUUACUUGUGUGUAUUAAUCACUAUAAAGAAACUUCUCACUUAUAUGUCUAUGAGCCAAAGAAACUUCCUAAUAAUACUGUAAAACAAAUCAGAAGUUCUCAAUAUUUAAUCAAAGGGAAACAUCUGUGUUAACAUAUCAAUCAUGUCUGGCUUUGAUGCCCCUCCAAUGACCUUGGGAUUACUUUUGAGGACCCCUGAUCUUAUUUCCACCUCAGAUGG
rnacentral:lncRNA from 1 species